CCWMCMCAUGCAAGUCGAACGGUARCAGGAAGCAGCUUGCUGCUUCGCUGACGAGUGSCKGACGGGUGAGUAAUGUCUGGGAAACUGCCUGAUGGAGGGGGAUAACUACUGGAAACGGUAGCUAAUACCGCAUAACGUCGCAAGACCAAAGAGGGGGACCUUCGGGCCUCUUGCCAUCGGAUGUGCCCAGAUGGGAUUAGCUAGUAGGUGGGGUAACGGCUCACCUAGGCGACGAUCCCUAGCUGGUCUGAGAGGAUGACCAGCCACACUGGAACUGAGACACGGUCCAGACUCCUACGGGAGGCAGCAGUGGGGAAUAUUGCACAAUGGGCGCAAGCCUGAUGCAGCCAUGCCGCGUGUAUGAAGAAGGCCUUCGGGUUGUAAAGUACUUUCAGCGGGGAGGAAGGYGUUGAGGUUAAUAACCWCAGCRAUUGACGUUACCCGCAGAAGAAGCACCGGCUAACUCCGUGCCAGCAGCCGCGGUAAUACGGAGGGUGCAAGCGUUAAUCGGAAUUACUGGGCGUAAAGCGCACGCAGGCGGUCUGUCAAGUCGGAUGUGAAAUCCCCGGGCUCAACCUGGGAACUGCAUUCGAAACUGGCAGGCUAGAGUCUUGUAGAGGGGGGUAGAAUUUCCAGGUGUAGCGGUGAAAUGCGUAGAGAUCUGGAGGAAUACCGGUGGCGAAGGCGSCCCCCUGGACAAAGACUGACGCUCAGGUGCGAAGCGUGGGGAGCAAACAGGAUUAGAUACCCUGSUAGUCCACGCCCGUAAACKAUUGUCGACUUGGAGGUUGUGCCCUUGAAGGCGUGGCUUYCCGGAGCUAACGCSUUWAAGUCGACCGCCUGGGGRAGUACGGYCGCYAACGCUA
rnacentral:rRNA from 1 species